UUGAACGCUGGCGGCAGGCCUAACACAUGCAAGUCGAGCGGUAGCACAGAGAGCUUGCUCUCGGGUGACGAGCGGCGGACGGGUGAGUAAUGUCUGGGAAACUGCCUGAUGGAGGGGGAUAACUACUGGAAACGGUAGCUAAUACCGCAUAAUGUCGCAAGACCAAAGUGGGGGACCUUCGGGCCUCAUGCCAUCAGAUGUGCCCAGAUGGGAUUAGCUAGUAGGUGGGGUAACGGCUCACCUAGGCGACGAUCCCUAGCUGGUCUGAGAGGAUGACCAGCCACACUGGAACUGAGACACGGUCCAGACUCCUACGGGAGGCAGCAGUGGGGAAUAUUGCACAAUGGGCGCAAGCCUGAUGCAGCCAUGCCGCGUGUGUGAAGAAGGCCUUCGGGUUGUAAAGCACUUUCAGCGGGGAGGAAGGCGGUGAGGUUAAUAACCUCAUCGAUUGACGUUACCCGCAGAAGAAGCACCGGCUAACUCCGUGCCAGCAGCCGCGGUAAUACGGAGGGUGCAAGCGUUAAUCGGAAUUACUGGGCGUAAAGCGCACGCAGGCGGUCUGUCAAGUCGGAUGUGAAAUCCCCGGGCUCAACCUGGGAACUGCAUUCGAAACUGGCAGGCUAGAGUCUUGUAGAGGGGGGUAGAAUUCCAGGUGUAGCGGUGAAAUGCGUAGAGAUCUGGAGGAAUACCGGUGGCGAAGGCGGCCCCUGGACAAAGACUGACGCUCAGGUGCGAAAGCGUGGGGAGCAAACAGGAUUAGAUACCCUGGUAGUCCACGCCGUAAACGAUGUCGAUUUGGAGGUUGUGCCCUUGAGGCGUGGCUUCCGGAGCUAACGCGUUAAAUCGACCGCCUGGGGAGUACGGCCGCAAGGUUAAAACUCAAAUGAAUUGACGGGGGCCCGCACAAGCGGUGGAGCAUGUGGUUUAAUUCGAUGCAACGCGAAGAACCUUACCUGGUCUUGACAUCCACAGAACUUUCCAGAGAUGGAUUGGUGCCUUCGGGAACUGUGAGACAGGUGCUGCAUGGCUGUCGUCAGCUCGUGUUGUGAAAUGUUGGGUUAAGUCCCGCAACGAGCGCAACCCUUAUCCUUUGUUGCCAGCGGUUAGGCCGGGAACUCAAAGGAGACUGCCAGUGAUAAACUGGAGGAAGGUGGGGAUGACGUCAAGUCAUCAUGGCCCUUACGACCAGGGCUACACACGUGCUACAAUGGCAUAUACAAAGAGAAGCGACCUCGCGAGAGCAAGCGGACCUCAUAAAGUAUGUCGUAGUCCGGAUUGGAGUCUGCAACUCGACUCCAUGAAGUCGGAAUCGCUAGUAAUCGUAGAUCAGAAUGCUACGGUGAAUACGUUCCCGGGCCUUGUACACACCGCCCGUCACACCAUGGGAGUGGGUUGCAAAAGAAGUAGGUAGCUUAACCUUCGGGAGGGCGCUUACCACUUUGUGAUUCAUGACUGGGGUG
rnacentral:rRNA from 1 species